UUCUCCAUUUCAAGAUAAACCUAAUGCUUAAAAAAGGUAGAUUAGUUUUCCUAAAAACUUUUUUAUGACUAAAUUUACUAACUACAAAAUUUCCUAUGGAGGUAAAAAAAAAAAAAUGGUGGUUGGUCUCUUUUGUUUUUCUUCUUUCCUCCUAUAUACUACAUUUUUCUUCCCACAACGUUUUAUCAGUGAUGAUAUGAGUUUGAAUAUUCUAAUUUUUUUUUAUAAUUAUACAAAUACUAGUAGACUGAUAUAAUGCUAACAUUUCAUAUAUUUUAUUUUUAUUAUGAAGUUAAUUAGAAUAUUUAGCAUUUUAAUAUCUAAUAAGAGAGAUCAUUAUUUAUUAUGUUUAUUCUUAAAUUAUUUAUAUAGCGCACAUAAGAGCAAAUGUUUUAUUGUUAAAAUCGUGCUUCGCACGGGAUUAACCUAGUUAUUUAAUGAAAUCAUCCUUUCAUAUCCCAUUAAAAAAAAAGCUAAUAUGUUAAAAAAAAAAUGAUAAUUAAAAGGUAGUAUUAAAUUGCAAUAAUUUGGCAAUAUUUUAGAGACAGUCCAAAUCAAAUACUGGACACGAACUAACCGGAUCUCAGUCCAAUAACUCCACCUUGUCCUUUGGGCACAUUAUUAUAUUUUCUGCACUUUUCGUAACUUUCAAUGACAAGUCUUUAAGUUUCCGGUGCGCAAGCGUUACAUCAUUUGCUUGUUUCUGAUACCAGACACUCUGACAUGACUAUGGAGGGCCCUUGACAAUUGGAGAUGAAAAUGCAACAUCUUCAUGGAAUGGUUGAGUAUGACACUUGGACAUGUUUCAGUGCUCUACAUUUGGUAGAUUCAAGUCUUGGUUUAAAGAACUAGGUUUUCUUAGAAACGACCAUUGGAUUUUUGUAAUUUUGAAAAUCAGGUUAGGAAGUCUUGACUAGUUCCUAAAGGAGUAGCUACCGAUCUCAUUGCUUUGGAUGAUAUACACAACAUCGCUGUUUUGAACUUGAGAGACAAAACAUUUGACUCUGUAGUUAUUUUCAAGAUCUGUCACUGAACAUAAAGGAUCCCUACAAACCAUAUGAAGUUGGGUGCAUCACUAGCUGUCUAUCUUCCUGAAAACUAUGAAGCAUCUCGAAAUCAUUUUGAUGUGAUUGAAGAGUAAGAAAAACUGUCAUUUGAUGAUUAGCAGUGACAUUGAGGAUUGUAACAUCUUGUAAUAAGGGCAAAGCAGUAUCUGCGAGUAGAUAUGUCAAAUUGUUGAUUAAUUGCUUAGCUCUAUUGCUCGUGUAAAACCGAUGCUAUCCGCUGAGACAAUUGCCUAGAAAGCUGUGAUUAUGUGAACAGAAGUUGUGAUUCUAUUGCCUAGAUGUAACAAGGUAUGUCACAAAUCUCACAAUAUAUGGUUUUGUUGUCCCUCUCAACUCUUCCAAGGAGGGUGGGGGAUGUUUCCAUUAUGAUAGUUGUGGAUUGAUUAUAUUGAUAUUGAUACUUGAAUCAUGAAUGUUGCCUUCUUUAAUCGAUGUAUCGAAAAUCUGAAUCAUAGAAACAUAAACUAUGAAUUGAUUUAUGGAAACUAGAGUAACCAAGUGAUUUAUGAAUGGCUGA